rnacentral:rRNA from 1 species
UACAGAGGUCCCAAGCGUUGUUCGGAUUCACUGGGCGUAAAGGGUGCGUAGGUGGCGCGGUAAGUCGGGUGUGAAAUCUCGGAGCUUAACUCCGAAAUUGCAUUCGAUACUGCGGUGCUUGAGGACUGGAGGAGGAGACUGGAAUUCAUGGUGUAGCAGUGAAAUGCGUAGAGAUCAUGAGGAGACCAGUGGCGAAGGCGGGUCUCUGGACAGUUCCUGACACUGAGACACGAAGGCCAGGGGAGCAAACGGG